rnacentral:rRNA from 1 species
UACGUAGGGGGCAAGCGUUGUCCGGAUUUAUUGGGCGUAAAGAGCGUGUAGGCGGCCAAACAGGUCAGCUGUGAAAACUCGAGGCUCAACCUCGAGACGUCGGUUGAAACCGUUUGGCUAGAGUCCGGAAGAGGAGAGUGGAAUUCCCGGUGUAGCGGUGAAAUGCGCAGAUAUCGGGAAGAACACCCGUGGCGAAGGCGGCUCUCUGGGACGGUACUGACGCUGAGACGCGAAAGCAUGGGGAGCGAACAGG